rnacentral:rRNA from 1 species
AGUGAACGCUGGCGGUAGGCCUAACACAUGCAAGUCGAACGGCAGCACAGUAAGAGCUUGCUCUUACGGGUGGCGAGUGGCGGACGGGUGAGGAAUACAUCGGAAUCUACUUUUUCGUGGGGGAUAACGUAGGGAGACUUACGCUAAUACCGCAUACGACCUACGGGUGAAAGCAGGGGAUCUUCGGACCUUGCGCGAUUGAAUGAGCCGAUGUCGGAUUAGCUAGUUGGUGGGGUAAAGGCCCACCAAGGCGACGAUCCGUAGCUGGUCUGAGAGGAUGAUCAGCCACACUGGAACUGAGACACGGUCCAGACUCCUACGGGAGGCAGCAGUGGGGAAUAUUGGACAAUGGGCGCAAGCCUGAUCCAGCCAUACCGCGUGGGUGAAGAAGGCCUUCGGGUUGUAAAGCCCUUUUGUUGGGAAAGAAAAGCAGCAGGUUAAUACCCCGCUGUUCUGACGGUACCCAAAGAAUAAGCACCGGCUAACUUCGUG